GCCGAAAGAACAAAAAUACAAUUAUACAUCAACAGUGCAACACGCGAUGAUGACAGACCACUCAUAGUUUCGUAAAAUUCAACCCGAAAACAAACUUCAGAACCGGACUUGGCUCUGCCUCCGGCGCUUGAGCUCAUCAAGGGGCUUUGGGUGCUCUCAGUCAAGCGCUUUGACUAUUUACGAUUAGCCUGCCCCAGCUCCCUACUGAGUUAGUAAUCACUUGGGGGUUUCAGGUUUGACAGUUUUUUUUUAAUCCAACAUUAACAGUUAAGAACUUAAGACAACUUGUGGCCUCAUUUAAGUCAAACUAAUUCUUAAGAGUUUUGUAGUUGACCUCAUAAGGGAAGAAAUACGCUUGCUCAUAUUAAUUUAACUGUGACUUUGUAAGCCAAUAAAUGAUCUUGCUCGUGUAAUUUUAACGUUUGACCAAGAACCUCUGAAGGGAAAAGGGACCACACUUGUAAAUGAGAAGAUAUUUUGGAGUAUCAUAUCUUUGGCAUGCAACUAUAUGCUAGAAAUACAGAAGGUUUUCUUUUGAUCAUUGUGCCAAUUCUUCAGUUAUAAUUUAGCAUCACAAAUGACGGAAAACCUCAUAUAAUCAUUGGUCAGUUUUUUUCCCGACUGGUGCGAGAUUAGUAUUUAUGUGGAAAAAGUCUAGAGCUCGGUAUUUCUCCUGAAAGUGGGAAACUCGUUUGUUUUUAUUUUCAAUUAAAUUUUGUCAAUUAUCCUGUGGUCUCAGUCACUUACUGUGAUAGAGUGGAAGAAGGGAGUAGAUUCUUAAAUAGGAGCAGUAUAAGGUUGAUAGGUUUGCCAUCACAAAUGGUACACAACCUCUUUCUUGUCUCGUGACCUUGGUUUUCUUGUUAAAAAAUCAAUGGUGCAGUGAGAUUCAUUAAGUUGAAGUUUUUACUUCUACAAAUGAGCGUUGUAACAGUUCUUCUUAUGUUCAAUUGAACUUCAUUUUAUCUGUGCCUUAUGAUCAAGUAGAUGGAGUGGACUGCUCAAUUUGUUCCCAUAUCAAAACAAGAGAUUUGGAAAGGAUCUUGUUUCCUUCAUAUUCCACAGUACUUGCAUGUAUGUGAAUUGUUUUGUUUUGCUCAAAAUAAUUAUUGUGUAAUCCACUUGUUGCUGUGUCAGAGUUGUGUGCAUAGUCUCUAUCCUUAGCUCCUAACUGGGUGUUCUCGCGUAUAUGUCCUGUGUAUUUGGGCUAUGUCUAUAUUAAUAAAAGUCUGUUUUACUUGUCAAAAAGAUAUCGUGUGCUCUAUUUCAUUAAUGCAUUACUGAUUUCGUUGGUUGUCAUCAAAUCAAUACAUGGGAUAUUGAGUGUAUUGCAUGAUUUAUAAUAACAAGCAGAUUGUCUUCUGAUGGUGAGAACAAAGCAACACCUUGUGGCAACCCCUAGAAAUAAGAAUAUCACUCCACGUGGCUACAUUGACUCAUCAAAAUCUGACAAUGAUCUGGAUUUGCAAGGAGAAGGUGGUUGGGUGAUUGUGAAAAAGCAGAGGGUCACCAUUUUGGUGCCUCCUCUUCCUGCUGCAAAAAAGUUGAUAACUCAAACGCCAGGACCAAGCCAGCCACAAGCCAUACCGAGAAAGACAAUGAGUAACCAAAUACAAGCUCCAAUUGAUAUAUGUCCCAGAAUAUUGUCAGCUGAUGAGCGAGAGAAGUCCAUACCAUUGGUUCCAAGAAAGGGUAUUCAAAUUACAAGAAAAGCUCCUGCUCAAGAUUUGUCGACAUUAGCCAAGCCACUAAGGGUAGAUUCAAGAAUGGAAGCAGGGGCUUGAGCAGGGUAGAUCAAGUUGGCACCUCAAAAACUGAUAAAAGAUUUGGGGUAUCUGAUACCUCAAAAGCUAUCAAGCGGCCUAGACUAUUACAUUGCCCAAGUGGCUUCUUCGAUGGCAGAAUGCUGGUGAGUCAAAGGCUGAGGGCAUCAAAUCUUGAGAGGAAUCUUCAAAAGGCUGGGGGCUUGAGUAGGUGGCUAGCAUCGCUCGGACUGAGUCAGUUUGUGAGGAUUUUUCAAAGGAAGAGUGUUAAUAAAUUUCAGUUGGUGAAUUUAACCAUGAAGAAGCUCAAAGAUAUGGGUGCAAAUGCAGUGGGGCCUAGGAGGAAACUGAUACAUGCUAUUGACUGUGUUUGCCAGCCCUACUAUUUUGAGGCCAUCUAAAAUGUCUCUGGGAUCUUGAAGCAAUUGGAAAAUAGGAAGAAAGACGCUAUUCAAACGCAGCAUCCUAAUUGUCUUAGUCGAAGACAUGUCUGAACAGUUGGAUAUUUUAUGACAUCUGGUUAGGAGAGAGAGAACAGAAAACAUACUUUGCUGCAAGUAGAAGAGGCGGUAACAUUUUGAACAUGAAAAUUGCUUGCCUUGUGUAUUUUAUGCACAUCUUUGCAAAUUACUAGAGUUUGUUACACAGCAGCUGUUUCUCUUGUUCUAAUCUUUCUAAUCCCAGUUUAUUAAAUC